rnacentral:rRNA from 1 species
CAGCAGCCGCGGUAAUACCGGUGGCUCGAGUGGUGGCGCUAUUAUUGGGUCUAAAAGGGUCCGUACCCGGCCUGAUAAGUACCUGGGAAAAUCCGGUGGCCUAAACCAUCGGGCGGCCAGGUAAAUACUAUCAGGCUCGGGACUAGGAGAGACCAGAGGUACUCAUGAGGUANGAGUGAAAUCCUGUAAUCUUAUGAGGACCACCAGUGGUGAAGACGUCUGGUUAGAAUAGGUCCGACGGUGAGGGACGAAGGCUGGGGGCGCAAACCGGAUUAGAUACCCGGGUAGUCCCAGCAGUAAACGAUGCCAGCUAUGUGUUGCUGGAACCAUGGGUUCCAGCAGUGCCGAAUGGAAGCCGUGAAGCUGGCCACCUGGGAAGUACGGUCGCAAGGCUGAAACUUAAAGGAAUUGGCGGGGGAGUACCACAACCGGUGGAGCCUGCGGUUUAAUUGGAUACAACGCCGGGAAUCUUACCGGAGGGGACAGCAGUAUGAAUGCCAGGCUAAAGACCUUGCCAGAUCAGCUGAGAGGAGGUGCAUGGCCGUCGCCAGUUCGUACCGUGAGGCAUCCUGUUUAGUCAGGCAACGAUCGAGACCCGCAGUCUUAUUUGCCAGCAUGCCCUUUGGGGUG